CCAAGUCAGCCAUUGCUUAAUCAAUCAUCUAAGUCUCAAUCUUUUUUCUUUUCUAUAACAAAAACACCCACAAAAGUUAACCAAACAAAGAAAACAAUUUCCUCCAAGAAACCAGAAGAUUCCAUAAAUAAAGAAGAAGAAAAAAGUUCACCAUCAUUAUCAUUCACCGCCAACAAUACCUCAAUACCCUUUUUCUUUCACUUUCUCUUUCUUAUCUUGAGUAUCACAUUCAACACCAACAGCAAUCUUGGAAAACAGAAACCCCAAUGUCAGAAUCUUUCUCCAAACCCUAGCCCUAAAUUUUCAAGAAACCCAAAUAAAUUAGCAGCAGGAGGAAGAAAAUAAU
rnacentral:lncRNA from 1 species